GUCAACAACGGAAAAGCAGGUGCUCGCGCAUUCGCGCUUAGAGCACGCUGCUUCAAGGGGAAAUCAUGACACUCGAUGACUUUGCUUAGAUCCGGUAAAGCGGAUUUAGACUUGUCCGUGGCCAGGUAGACGGUGGCUCUUCUGUAAAAUAAAGAAAUGAUUGCUGGUGACUUUCUGAGAAAAGCUCACCGACUCACCAACAGCUGCGUGGAAAUGGGAAAGUGCGUCGGCCAGGUGUCCGGCAGCCAGGAGCUUCUUCCCCAUCUCCAGGUGUAGGAAUAUGAAGGCUUGGCUACAAUGAUGUUUAAAGAAGAUAACCACAGCGCAGGACAUGGUUUCCUCACAUGCAUAUGAUAAAAUCAGCUGCUGAUUUGGUCUUUUUAAUGUGUUCUCACUGAACAUGAGACUAGUUAAGCAAUGAAGGCAAUACAUCCCAGACCAUAAUAUUUUCUGGACACAGCUUGGACACACUUUAUUUGAACUUCCAAUACACCAGGCACAAGAACAGUUUCUUUCCAGAGGCCUUCAUUCAUGGCCCUUAAAGAGUAUUCUUAAUCUUCAAUACAAUGUCACUGUAACCUGUGAUAUACAUAUCAGUUAUUGUAUAAACGAUUACAAUUAUUUAUUAUACAUAUUUUUUGCAUUUAGCAAUUUCAUUAUUUACAUAUAAGUCAUAUAUUACAAGGAACAACUCCAAUUUAUUGUUGUUGUUUUGUUGUGUUUAUCUAGGCAAGUUAAUAUUAACUAUGUAAACACAACAAAACAACAACAACCAUAAAUUGGUUAUAGAUAUUGCGAUAAAUUAGGUCACAAUACACUUUUCUAUGA